CUGAACGCUGGCGGUGGCUAAGACAUGCAAGUCGCACGGGCCUAGCAAUAGGUCAGUGGCGGACGGGUGAGUAAAGAAUCGCUAACGUACCCCAGAGUCCGGGAUAGCUGCCCGAAAGGGCAGGUAAUACCGGCAUGACAUCCCCGGGAGGCAUCUCCUGGUGCUCAAAGGCGCAAGCCGCUGUGGGAGCGGGCGAUUUCGUAUCAGCUAGUUGGUAGGGUAACGGCUUACCAAGGCGACGACGCGUAGCCGGACUGAGAGGUUGGCCGGCCACAUUGGGACUGAGACACUGCCCAGACUCCUACGGGGGGCUGCAGUAACGAAUCUUCCGCAAUGCCCGCAAGGGUGACGGAGCGACGCCGCGUGGAGGACGAAGUCCUUCGGAUGUAAACUCCUGUCAGGGGAUACCAAGUUCUGAGGGUCCCCAGAGGAAGGCACGGCUAACUCUGUGCCAGCAGCCGCGGUAAUACGAAUCACUAGUGAAUUCGCGGCCGCCUGCAG
rnacentral:rRNA from 1 species